rnacentral:rRNA from 1 species
GACGGACGCUGGCGGCGUGCUUAACACAUGCAAGUCGAACGGAAAGGCCCUGCUUUUGUGGGGUGCUCGAGUGGCGAACGGGUGAGUAACACGUGAGUAACCUGCCCUUGACUUUGGGAUAACUUCAGGAAACUGGGGCUCAUACCGGAUAGGAGCUCCUGCUGCAUGGUGGGGGUUGGAAAGUUUCGGCGGUUGGGGAUGGACUCGCGGCUUAUCAGCUUGUUGGUGGGGUAGUGGCUUACCAAGGCUUUGACGGGUAGCCGGCCUGAGAGGGUGACCGGCCACAUUGGGACUGAGAUACGGCCCAGACUCCUACGGGAGGCAGCAGUGGGGAAUAUUGCACAAUGGGCGGAAGCCUGAUGCAGCAACGCCGCGUGCGGGAUGACGGCCUUCGGGUUGUAAACCGCUUUCGCCUGUGACGAAGCGUGAGUGACGGUAAUGGGUAAAGAAGCACCGGCUAACUACGUG